CGGUAAUACGGAGGGUGCGAGCGUUAAUCGGAAUUACUGGGCGUAAAGCGCAUGCAGGUGGUUUGUUAAGUUCAGAUGUGAAAGACCCGGGGCGUCAACCUCGGAAUAGCAUUUGAAACUAGGCAGACUAGAGUACUGUAGAGGGGGGUAGGAAGUUUCAGGUGUAGCGGUGAAAUGCGUAGAGAUCUGAAGGAAUACCGGUGGCGAAGGCGGCCCCCUCGGACAGAUACUGACACUCAGAUGCGAAAGCGUGGGGAGCAAACAGGAUUAGAUACCCUGGUAG
rnacentral:rRNA from 1 species